CAGUCGCCGCGGGAAUACGGAGGGUGCGAGCGUUAAUCGGAAUUACUGGGCGUAAAGCGUGCGCAGGCGGUUAUAUAAGACAGAUGUGAAAUCCCCGGGCUCAACCUGGGACCUGCAUUUGUGACUGUAUAGCUAGAGUACGGUAGAGGGGGAUGGAAUUCCGCGUGUAGCAGUGAAAUGCGUAGAUAUGCGGAGGAACACCGAUGGCGAAGGCAAUCCCCUGGACCUGUACUGACGCUCAUGCACGAAAGCGUGGGGAGCAAACAGGAUUAGAUACCCCCGUAGUCCCUGUCUCUUAUAA
rnacentral:rRNA from 1 species